AAACAACUUAAGUGUCCAUCAAUAGAUGAAUGGAUUCAGAAGACAUGACUUUCUCUUCUAUCACAUCGCUCUAUUCACAUUGUUUUUCUGGCUACUGUUAAAUAUUUGUAUGAACUUCAGCAUCAACUUCCACUAAAUGAAUCAUUGGUACUUUUGUU